rnacentral:rRNA from 1 species
GUUGUAUGGUUAAGUGACUAAGCGUACACGGUGGAUGCCUGGGCAGUCAGAGGCGAUGAAGGACGUACUAACUUGCGAUAAGCGCAGAUAAGGCAGUAAGAGCCGUUUGAGUCUGCGAUUUCCGAAUGGGGAAACCCAACUGCAUAAGCAGUUACUGUUAACUGAAUCCAUAGGUUAACAGAGCAAACCGGGGGAACUGAAACAUCUAAGUACCCCGAGGAGAAGAAAUCAACCGAGAUUCCGGUAGUAGCGGCGAGCGAACCUGGAUUAGCCCUUAAGCACUCGGUGAAGUAGGUGAACAAGCUGGAAAGCUUGGCGAUACAGGGUGAUAGCCCCGUAACCGACGCUUCAUCGAGCGUGAAAUCGAGUAGGGCGGGACACGUGAUAUCCUGUCUGAACAUGGGGGGACCAUCCUCCAAGGCUAAAUACUCCUGACUGACCGAUAGUGAACCAGUACCGUGAGGGAAAGGCGAAAAGAACCCCUGUGAGGGGAGUGAAAUAGAACCUGAAACCGUGUACGUACAAGCAGUAGGAGCACCUUCGUGGUGUGACUGCGUACCUUUUGUAUAAUGGGUCAGCGACUUAUAUUCAGUGGCAAGGUUAACCGUAUAGGGGAGCCGUAGCGAAAGCGAGUCUUAACUGGGCGCUCAGUCUCUGGAUAUAGACCCGAAACCGGGUGAUCUAGCCAUGGGCAGGUUGAAGGUUGAGUAACAUCAACUGGAGGACCGAACCGACUAAUGUUGAAAAAUUAGCGGAUGACUUGUGGCUAGGGGUGAAAGGCCAAUCAAACUCGGAGAUAGCUGGUUCUCCCCGAAAGCUAUUUAGGUAGCGCCUCGGACGAAUACUACUGGGGGUAGAGCACUGUUAAGGCUAGGGGGUCAUCCCGACUUACCAACCCUUUGCAAACUCCGAAUACCAGUAAGUACUAUCCGGGAGACACACGGCGGGUGCUAACGUCCGUCGUGGAGAGGGAAACAACCCAGACCGCCAGCUAAGGUCCCAAAGUAUUGCUAAGUGGGAAACGAUGUGGGAAGGCUCAGACAGCUAGGAUGUUGGCUUAGAAGCAGCCAUCAUUUAAAGAAAGCGUAAUAGCUCACUAGUCGAGUCGGCCUGCGCGGAAGAUGUAACGGGGCUAAGCAAUACACCGAAGCUGCGGCAAUGUCUUUU